rnacentral:rRNA from 1 species
CCUACGGGGGGCUGCAGUGGGGAAUAUUGGGCAAUGGGCGCAAGCCUGACCCAGCAACGCCGCGUGAAGGAAGAAGGCUUUCGGGUUGUAAACUUCUUUUCUCAGGGACGAAGAAAGUGACGGUACCUGAGGAAUAAGCCACGGCUAACUACGUGCCAACAGCCGCGGUAAUACGUAGGUGGCAAGCGUUAUCCGGAUUUAUUGGGUGUAAAGGGCGUGUAGGCGGGAGCGCAAGUCAGAUGUGAAAACUCAGGGCUAAACCCUGAGCCUGCAUUUGAAACUGUGUUUCUUGAGUGCGGGAGAGGCAAGCGGAAUUACGUGUGUAGCGGUGAAAUGCGUAGAUAUACGGAGGAACACCAGUGGCGAAGGCGGAUUGCUGGACAGUAACUGACGCUGAGGCGCGAAAGCGUGGGGAGCAAACAGGAUUAGAUACCCGUGUAGUC